rnacentral:rRNA from 1 species
CAGUAACACGUGGAUAACCUGCCCUUGGGACCUGCAUAACCCCGGGAAACUGGGGAUAAUUCGGGAUAACGCAUAUGUGCUGGAAUGCUUUAUGCGUAAAAAGGAUUCGUCCGCCCAAGGAUGGGUCUGCGGCCUAUCAGGUAAUAGUGGGUGUAAUGUACCUACUAGCCGACAACGGGUACGGGUUGUGAGAGCAAGAGCCCGGAGAUGGAUUCUGAGACAUGAAUCCGGGCCCUACGGGGCGCAGCAGGCGCGAAAACUUUACAAUGCGGGAAACCGUGAUAAGGGGACACCGAGUGUCAGCAUCAUAUGCUGGCUGUCCAGGUGUGUAAAAUACACCUGUUAGCAAGGGCCGGGCAAGACCGGUGCCAGCCGCCGCGGUAACACCGGCGGCCCGAGUGGUGAUCGUGAUUAUUGUUUCUAAAGGGUCCGUAGCCGGUUUGGUCAGUC